UCCUCCUGCAUAUGACGGACACAGCACUGAUCCUGGCAGCUCCUUACCCCCAGCAACCCGAAACUCACGCCUUAAUUACACAAGGGAAACCUUUUAACUCUGCAGCCAAAGUCUGGGGGUAAAGGCAGGCGCGGGAAGAUGGGUUCUCUACCUGGCCAGUACCAUGUUGCCUGUUUCUUUUCUGUACAUGUGGUGACAAAGAAAAGGGAAGAUGAGCCUCCAUGUUGAACAUACCUGGCCCCCAGCACUAACUCCCUCUCUGGGUAUGUGGAACAAGGACGACCUUAAACUUAACAAUAGAACCAAUGAUGGUCUACCGGUCUCCCCAAAGCCCCAAGUUUAAAAGCCAUAUGAACUGGCUGAUAGUGGAAAAUGGAAGCCCAUGAGUUGCCUGGUGCCCCACUAUAUGAAGUUGCCAAGAUCCCCUAAAAACAAAAGUGACAAAGGCACUACCGUUCUUAACAUCAUACCCAAGAGGAUGAGUCUGUGCCACUGGGUUCAGAGAGCAUCCACCAGAAAUCCAGCAGACAAGGAUCACCUAGAAUAGUAGUGCUUAAACUCACUCACGACAGGUAGUGAAACACAUGUAACACCUCCUGCUGCAACAAAGAAGAGGGAGGUGUUACAGUCAGCAAAUGCUUCACCUUGGAAUUUUCACACACUCUGUAUCUUGGGUCAUCCAAAAGGCUGCAUACUUUCAAUAGGAUUGAGAGGAGCCUCGGUGACUAACCCUGGCAAGAAGCCACAGUAUGGUCAAUUCUAGCCUUUGGGUCCUAUGAUUCAGAAAGAAAAAUGAGACCAUGGAGUCUCUGUGAUUUCUACCUCUUCCACCAAGAUGAUUUGUCAAGGAGGGAGGGGGGCAGAUCCUAUAAGGGAAAAUAUAGCAUAAGUAUUUAGGAUAUUUGACUAAGGAAUGCUUUUAGCAGCUGAGAAUUACACUGCUUUUGAAAAACAAUUGCUGGCUGAUUACUGGAGGGGAGUAACAGUGCUAGUGAAGAGACUCAACAGAGGUCGGUGAGUGGUUUUGUGAGUUGGAACCCUUUGUCUCACAUAGCAAUGUAACUUAACAGUCUUUGAUUAUUAAAUAGAAAAAUCAAAAUCUAAGAAAGGAUGAGAGAUAUCUAUGUGAGCUCAUUAUAAAAGACACGUCCCUGACCAGGACCCUCACUUUCAUUUGCCUGGAAAAACUGAUGCAUCCUCUGGGCACUAACCUUUAAAUCAAAAGUAACAAUGUGAGGCACAGAUAGAACCACUCAUUUAACAGGCAGUGGGCCUCAGUAGACAGGCACCACCUUCCACCCUUUGUCAUAGACAUCCUGUCUACGGAAGAGGUAAGGUUAUUCCACACAAUGAGGGAGCUCUGUGUCACUGGCAGUUACAAUAGUUAUAAGUUUGAGGCAUCAGGAAGUGAAUUUGUACUGACUCCAGAAAUUAAAAUAUCCAAAUGGAUGGAAGAUCUUGGAAUGGUAUAUUAUGACCAGUAGGCUUAGGGAUGCCUUUUAUAGCAAGAAUCAGGCACAUUAUUCACUCAAAUGACUAUUUUUGUAUCUCAUAUUUUAGUGUGUUGAAUAGUGUCUUAGUCCAUUUUCCGUUGCUAUAAACUGAAUACCAUGGGCUGGGUAAUUUAUAAAGAACAGAGAUUUAUUUAGCUCAUGGUUCUGGAGGCUGGGAAGUCUGACAGCUUGGUGCUGGCAUCUGGUGAAAGCCUUUUUGCUUCAUCAUAGCAUGGUGAAGGCAUCAUAUGGCGAGAGGACAGGAGUGUGCAUGUCAGCUCAGGCCUCUUCUUCUUAUAAAGCCACCAGUCCUAUUUUGGGAACCCCACCGUGUUGACUUUAUCUAAUCCUAAGUACCUCCCAAAGGCCUCACUUCCAAUCAACAUAUGAAUUUGGAGAUUAAGUUUCCACCACAUGAAAUUUGGUGGACACAUUUAAACAGUAGCAAAUAGUGUCCCCCCAAAAGAUAUGUCUAAGCUCUAACCCCUAGUACCUGUGAAUAUGACCUUUGCAGAUAUAACUAUAUCUUUGCAGAUAUAAUUAAGUUAAGGAUCUUGAGAUGAGAGCAUUCUAAAUCAAAUGCCUGGUGUACUUAUAAGUAGAGGAGAAGCCACAGAGACACAAAAAAGAUAAUACUAUGAAAAUGAAGGAAGAGAUUGGAGGGCAGCCACAAGCCAAGGAAUACCAAGGAUCAAAAACUAAGAGAGAGGCAUAGAGUGGAUUCUCCCUCAGAACCUUCCAGAGUGAAUGGCUCUACCAUACUGAUAUUGUACUUCUGCCUUCUUGGGCUUUGACAAAAUACACUUCUGUUGUUUUAAACCAUUUAAUUUGUGGUAACUUGUUAUGGCAGACCGAGAAAACUAGAACAUAUAUAGACACCUACCAAAAAGAUUAGGGAUAGAAAAAACAAUUUAAAAGCAAGUAAAUCCAUCAAUAUGUAAUGGAUGUUUGUUUUGGCCAAGGCACACUGGGUGCAUCAGAGCACUAGACACCUGAGAUGAGAACUAGGUUGGCUGAAGUUCACAUUUUGAAGUAUGUAAUUACUGCUGGAGCCAAUUGUCAAGAUGUAGGAGUUUGGGCUCCUUCAGCAAAAAUGCCCUGGGACAUUCCAAGACACUAAAAAAAAAAAAAAAAAAAAA